rnacentral:lncRNA from 1 species
GCUCAUUUCUUUCUUCUUUUCUCUAUACGUUGGUGUUCUAACCAAUAAUCACUCAAUCGCUAUUACGAUUCAUUUUCCGACCGAUCAAUAUAUCCAAUGGAUGUUUAAGUGCCGCCCACAUUAGGGUUAUACUUUGUCGUUCGUCGUUAAUUCGAUGAAUGUUUAAGUAUCGCACUUUGUCGUUCGUUGUGAGAAUUUGAUCCCGUGAGUUAUCGUAAAAGCUGUAUUGAUCAUUAACCCGGUUUUUGUGAAAUUCGUUAAGGUUCGAAUCUCAUGACUACCGUUAAGGUUUGAUUUGGAUUUUACACCAAUACGUAUUCCAUUCUGUUAAACUAUGUAUUUAACUACCAAAAAUACUCCCAACUACACCCUUACAGUCAAACAAACUAUUAAAUCAUCAGAAGAUCCAAAAUAAUAAAGUGCAUGCUUAAUUAUCGGAAGAAGUAGAAUCAAGAAGUUUGUUAACUCAAUCCUGCAUGCUGAUUUGUGAAAUUAUAAUUACAGUGAUUAAGUUGAUGUAAUCACCAAAUUACAGCCAGUAUGUGGGGUAUUGUGCACAUUACUACUGUUUUAUCACUUUAGGUGGGUGAACCUAAAAUUAAGUGAUACGUCAUUCAUUUGGGCAGCCAAUGGUGAUAUGACCACUGUCACAGAUCCGGUCGAGUGACAAAUACUCUGGGUAGUUGGUUGAUAUCAGAAACAUGCGUAAAAGAUCUUAACACUGUAUAUUAAAAUAAAUGUGUCAUUUUCAGUAAAAUGAAUGAUUCACUCAGUAUUUCCCCGCUGACAAAACCUUUUUAAAACGCGUUUCAGGUAAUUACAGUAGCUUGGAGUAAGGAUUGGAUCCGGCACUAAAAGACUUCAAGAAGUGGCUUAUUUUAUUAAUUAAAUCAAAUAUUGUUUUUAUUAAAAGCUACCUUUGUAAAACAUGGAAUUUAUUCCAUCUAUUUAAAUAAAAACCGGUGUUUCUAAACUCUGAUAUUUUCCUAACUCACGGUCCUGAUGAAAUUUCCGCUGCAAUAUUUUUCAAAAUAAUCACCGGUACCACUGGACUGCUCACGGCACCCGAUUCCGGCUAGGAUGGGGUCGGGGGUCGUGACAGAAGGUGGUAUCAGAGCUAAGCCACUGCUUUAAGCCUAUAAGUGUUGUGAUGACAAUACUUAAGCUUAAAUAAAAGAGUUAGGAGAUUGCUAUUAACUGGUAGCACAUCUGAUAGCAUUUAGACUUGAACAUAAGAAAAGAUGCCUUAGUAUAAACUAAGCCACUUGUUUAGAGCAAGUAGGUGUUAUAAUAAUAAUACCUAAGCUUAAACGGAAAAUUAGAAACUUAAUAUUAUCUGAUAGCACUCUGAAUGAUAUUUAGACUUGAACUUAAGAAUUUUGUCUUAAUAUAAGCUUCAAGAUAAAAUUACUUAUAUAAGUAUAAAUAAGUAUAAUUGGUAUUCAAUAAAAAUAACGACUAGCAGGCAAUAGCAUUUAAUUGCUAUUUAUUCUUGUUUAUUGGUAUUACUUGGUCAAGAAUAAAGAUAUAUUAUGGAAAUACAAAUUUCCUUGAUUCUGAAUAGAAGC